rnacentral:rRNA from 1 species
CUGCUGCCUUCCGUAAGAGUUUGGGCCGUGUCUCAGUCCCAAUGUGGCCGUCCACCCUCUCAGGCCGGCUACUGAUCGCUGCCUUGGUGGGCCGUUACCCCGCCAACUAGCUAAUCAGACGCGGAUCCAUCGUAUACCACCGGAAUUUUUCACACUGCCCCAUGCGGAGCCGUGCGCUUAUGCGGUAUUAGCACCUAUUUCUAAGUGUUAUCCCCCGGUAUACGGCAGGUUAUCCACGCGUUACUCACCCGUCCGCCAA